AGCGGCAGAGGUAUUGACAAGCAGAUUAUUCUCUCGCCUUUUACUAGAGAAUACCGUGUCUGUACCUCAUUGAAAUGUCGCUCUGCCAAUUUUUCAGCACUCAGCUUGUUCUGAGCA
rnacentral:snRNA from 1 species